rnacentral:rRNA from 1 species
GACGAACGCUGGCGGCGUGCUUAACACAUGCAAGUCGAACGGAAAGGCCCUUCGGGGUACUCGAGUGGCGAACGGGUGAGUAACACGUGGGUGAUCUGCCCUGCACUUUGGGAUAAGCCUGGGAAACUGGGUCUAAUACCGGAUAGGACUACGCGAUACAUGUCGUGUGGUGGACAGCUUUUGCGGUGUGGGAUGGGCCCGCGGCCUAUCAGCUUGUUGGUGAGGUUACGGCUGACCAAGGCGACGACGGGUAGCCGGCAUGAGAGGGUGACCGGCCACACUGGGACUGAGAUACGGCCCAGACUCCUACGGGAGGCAGCAGUUGGGAAUAUUGCACAAUGGGCGCAAGCCUGAUGCAGCGACGCCGCGUGAGGGAUGACGGCCUUCGGGUUGUAAACCUCUUUCAGCAGGGACGAAGCGCAAGUGACGGUACCUGUAGAAGAAGGACCGGCCAACUACGUGCCAGCCGCCGCCGUAACAC